UUUACUGGAGGAAGGUGGGGAUGACGUCAAGUCAUCAUGGCCCUUACGGCCUGGGCUACACACGUGCUACAAUGGUCGGUACAAAGGGUUGCCAAGCCGCGAGGUGGAGCUAAUCCCAUAAAACCGAUCGUAGUCCGGAUCGCAGUCUGCAACUCGACUGCGGGAAGUCGGAAUCGCUAGUAAUCGCGAAUCAGAAUGUCGCGGUGAAUACGUUCCCGGGCCUUGUACACACCGCCCGUCACACCAUGGGAGUGGGUUGCACCAAAAGUAGCUAGUCUAACCUUCGGGAGGACGGUUACCACGGUGUGAUUCAUGACUGGGGUGAAGACGAACAUAGGGYUUGU
rnacentral:rRNA from 1 species